rnacentral:rRNA from 1 species
GACGAACGCUGGCGGCGUGCUUAACACAUGCAAGUCGAACGGAAAGGCCCUGCUUUUGUGGGGUGCUCGAGUGGCGAACGGGUGAGUAACACGUGAGUAACCUGCCCUUGACUUUGGGAUAACUUCAGGAAACUGGGGCUAAUACCGGAUAGGAGCUCCUGCUGCAUGGUGGGGGUUGGAAAGUUUCGGCGGUUGGGGAUGGACUCGCGGCUUAUCAGCUUGUUGGUGGGGUAGUGGCUUACCAAGGCUUUGACGGGUAGCCGGCCUGAGAGGGUGACCGGCAGCAGUGGGACUGAGAUGCGGCCCAGACUCCUACGGGAGGCAGCAGUGGGGUAUAUUGCACAAUGGGCGGAAGCCUGAUGCAGCAACGCCGCGUGCGGGAUGACGGCCUUCGGGUUGUAAACCGCUUUCGCCUGUGACGAAGCGUGAAUGGCGAUAAUGGGUAAAGUAGCACCGGCUAACUACGUG